rnacentral:rRNA from 1 species
CCUACGGGAGGCAGCAGUAGGGAAUAUUGGGCAAUGGAGGCAACUCUGACCCAGCCAUGCCGCGUGCAGGAAGAAGGCGUUAUGCGUUGUAAACUGCUUUUAUAUAGGAAGAAAUAGACCUUGCGAGGUAAGUUGACGGUACUAUAUGAAUAAGCACCGGCUAACUCCGUGCCAGCAGCCGCGGUAAUACGGAGGGUGCAAGCGUUGUCCGGAUCUAUUGGGUUUAAAGGGUGCGUAGGCGGUUUAUUAAGUCAGUGGUGAAAGACGGUCGCUCAACGAUUGCAGUGCCAUUGAUACUGGUAGACUUGAGUGGGAUUGAGGUAGCUGGAAUGGAUAGUGUAGCGGUGAAAUGCAUAGAUAUUAUCCAGAACACCAAUUGCGUAGGCAAGUUACUAAGUCUCAACUGACGCUGAGGCACGAAAGUGUGGGUAUCAAACAGGAUUAGAUACCCUGGUAGUCCACACUGUAAACGAUGAUAACUAACUGUUGGCUUUCGGGUCAGUGGUACAGAGAAAUCGUUAAGUUAUCCACCUGGGGAAGUACGCCGGNAACGGUGAAACUUNAAGAUUGNGNGNGNGAGNGCGAGAGACGACGAGGAGAGG